AUUGAACGCUGGCGGCAUGCCUUACACAUGCAAGUCGAACGGCAGCACGGGGGCAACCCUGGUGGCGAGUGGCGAACGGGUGAGUAAUGCAUCGGAACGUGCCCAGUAGUGGGGGAUAACUAGUCGAAAGAUUAGCUAAUACCGCAUACGACCUAUGGGUGAAAGCGGGGGAUUCGCAAGAACCUCGCGCUAUCGGAGCGGCCGAUGUCUGAUUAGCUAGUUGGCGGGGUAAAGGCCCACCAAGGCUUCGAUCAGUAGCUGGUCUGAGAGGACGACCAGCCACACUGGGACUGAGACACGGCCCAGACUCCUACGGGAGGCAGCAGUGGGGAAUUUUGGACAAUGGGCGCAAGCCUGAUCCANCCAUGCCGCGUGCGGGAAGAAGGCCU
rnacentral:rRNA from 1 species